rnacentral:rRNA from 1 species
UACGGAGGGGGCUAGCGUUGUUCGGAAUUACUGGGCGUAAAGCGCACGUAGGCGGACCGGUAAGUCAGAGGUGAAAUCCCAGGGCUCAACCUUGGAACGGCCUUUGAAACUCCUGGUCUUGAGUUCGAGAGAGGUGAGUGGAAUUCCGAGUGUAGAGGUGAAAUUCGUAGAUAUUCGGAGGAACACCAGUGGCGAAGGCGGCUCACUGGCUCGAUACUGACGCUGAGGUGCGAAAGCGUGGGGAGCAAACAGG